CCAUUUUUUCCGUAAGUAGAGGGAAGGUUUAGGACAUACAGCGUAAGCUUUUUGAAGAAUACGAAAGUGCGCUUUUGGCAGAACCACUUGGAAGGCGAUCAUUUGUUUACAUAAAGCAUUUUUUUUUUUUUCGAAAAUAACCGAUCGUUUCGCAAGAUAAGACCCUUAUUCCUCGUCUGGUAUCGUUUAAAGCCCUUUUAAGCUGCACUGAAACUGUAAUUUUGACCUUCAACCGUUUGGAGGCCAUUGAUGUCCACUAUAAGGAGAAUAAUCCUGGAAUGUUUUCAUCAAAAACCUUAAUUUCUUUUCAACUGAAGAAAGAAGGACAUGGACAUCUUGGAUGACAUGGGGGUGAGUAAAUUAUCAGGAAAAUUUUAUUUGAAAGUGAACUAAUCCUUUAACCUUCAGAAAAGAUUACAUAAAAAUGACUAACUUUUUUCAUGUUUUAUUGUCUAUGGAACACAUACUCUCAUUCUCCCGCUCUUUAUCACAUACAAACGCACACACAUAUAGUGCAGACGCACAUAGACGUAAGUAUACACUGAAACUUUAUCAACAAAAUAAAUUCGCAAUUAAAAAGCACUGUGACAUUUCUCAGUUGUGAUGUAAUAACGUAAGUUCUAAAAUGACGAUUUGAAAUUAGCAAUGGAGGACAGGGAUGAGAUGUCCCAUACGGUAAAAAAAAAUAUAUUUUAUCUGGCCAAAAUAUAUUUUAAAUAUAUGGUAAAUAUAUGUUGUAAACAGUGAAGUUCAAUGAAAUGUAUUUUUGAAAUUGAAAAUAUAUUUUGUUUCAACCUUCAUAUACUUAAAAUAUAUUUAAAAAUGUAUUUCAGGGGCAAGAAAAUACAUUUAUAUUUAAAAAUAUAUUUCAGGGCGCAAGAAAAUACAUUUCCAAUCUUAUAGUCGACAAUGCAAAUGUGGGUGGAAGAAAGCCUUGUGAUCAAAACUACAUUCCAUUAAAUGUUAGAAGAAUUUUAAACACUUACAGAAAAAAACAUGAAUUUCCCCAUAUUUUCCACAUUGACCAAUUUUGUUCACACGAUCUUCUCAAGCCUUGAUCCCCAGCCUUUAUUGGAAACACGCUCACAAAUGUGUAUUUUAAUCUAUUAUUUAUUAAUUACUUUAUUUAUUCAUUUGUUUAUUUAUUUGUAAUUUAAUGUCAGUGUAAUAUAGCAUUUAAAUGCACAUCAAAUAAAAAUAAAUAGAUGAAUAACUUUGAUGUAAUUUGAAUUGGAAACCACUAGCAGCGCUCACGGACUUUUGGGGUACUGCGCAUGCGCGUCAUUUUGAGCUGUAACGGUCGUCAGUUAACCGGGAGUUCUCGGAGGAAAAGGUGCGGGUCCAAACCCAUCUGACAAGCUUCUUUGUCCACAUGCUGUCCGCCCCACCAGCCCAACGAUUGUGCUGGAGAGCCUCUGACCACAAGUCAUAGAAAAAGAGAAUGUCAUAAUCAUCUGGAACAGCAUAUGAGGGAGCAAAGAGCAAAACUGACAGUGGUGGAGAGAGAAGAAGUGCCCUUGACGAGGAAACCAUGGCAGUUAUAUAGAGCGGGGCUGGUGGCGUUGGCGUUGCGGCAAGUUGUGGCAGAGUUCGCGUGCAGUGCUAGCAACGAGGGCAGGUGCUUGAAUGCUGGCCGGUAGACAGAGCUGCAGCAUCGGUAGUGAGUAAACGUACAGCUGUGCGUCUAGUGUUUGUUCAACUUGGGCCAGUGAGGAUUCAUGUGGAACUGGGGAGGCUAGCUGCUUUCAUUCUGUGGUGUGUUUCAUGGUGUGCUGUGUGUGCUGAUACAACUUUGGUGUGAAUUGAAGUGGGUUUUGGCCUGCCUGCCUUGUUCCCAACUAUUUGUACCAUUGUGGAUGUUUUGUGAGAGAGAAUUUUAAUCAAUGCUGGUGAUUUUACAAUAAAGUGUAUUUUUUUGUAUUGAUACUCACAUCUCCCUAAUCUCUUCGCCUUCAAUUGGUGAAACUUAUCUGUGUGUCCUUUAUUGGGAGUUAUUUCCCUGGCCUCCCACCAGGGUGGUGUAGUCAGAUAAAUUUAAUUGUGAUUAACAUUUCCCUCCAUUUGGUACCGCCACACAAGCAUUUCUGUCAGGACCACUAUCAUCAAAUAUGCAAAUGGCCAGUGUAAAUGGCCAUUUUAUGGCUUAUAUGGUCACCAUGGAGAGGCCUCUAUGGUUAACUUCUAGUGUAGUGUUUCUCUACGGGGGCGGUACCACCCCCCAGGGGUGAUCAGAGAACAACUGUCACGGUCACUAUCUGUCUCACUGUCCCUGAACUCCAUUUCCCAGCAUUCCUCCUGAUCCACACCUGCACCCAGUCAGCUCAUCAUCUCAUGGAUUCCCUGCACCUGCACAUCAUCAUUAGCACUUCCUAUGAAGACUCACUUCUCCUGCACUCCCCGGUCUGGUCUUGUCAACUUCUAUGACAAGCUCCACGACCCUCUUACCUGUGAUCUACUUACUUGUUGUUCCUGCGUUCUCUCCUUGUUCUCCACCGCGCCAGAUCUCCACCGUCUCCACGCUCCGCUGUUCCCUCUGGAUCCCCUGGAAAAGACAAACAGACAAUCACUAUCAGAUAAGCCCCAUAUGACUUUCACAUUCCCUGCCUGCUUACCUGGACAUUCUGCUCGUCUCACACUUCCCCGCUGUUGUUCAAUAAACCUGCUGUUGUGUAUAUCACUUACCUCUGUGUCCCGUGUCUAUCUGCUGAAAACAAUGGGUCCAGGCA